GAUGAACGCUAGCGGCAGGCUUAACACAUGCAAGUCGAGGGGCAGCGGGGAGGAAGCUUGCUUUCUCCGCCGGCGACCGGCGCACGGGUGAGUAACACGUAUGCAACCUGGCCGCCACAGGGGGAUAACCCGCGGAAACGCGGCCUAAUACCCCGUGACGCCACCGGAGGGCAUCCUCCGGUGGCCAAAGGAGCGAUCCGGUGGCGGAUGGGCAUGCGGCGCAUUAGCUAGACGGCGGGGUGACGGCCCACCGUGGCGACGAUGCGUAGGGGUUCUGAGAGGAAGGCCCCCCACACUGGGACUGAGACACGGCCCAG
rnacentral:rRNA from 1 species